rnacentral:rRNA from 1 species
CAGCAGCCGCGGUAAUACAUAGGGGCCAAACGUUGUCCGGAUUUAUUGGGCGUAAAGGGCUCGUAGGCGGCUUGGAAAGUCAACCGUGAAAACCCGGGGCUCAACCCCGGGACGCCGGUCGAAACUUCCAUGGCUAGGGUCCGGUAGAGGUGAGUGGAAUUCUAGGUGUAGCGGUGAAAUGCGCAGAUAUCUAGAGGAACACCAGUAGCGAAGGCGGCUCACUGGGCCGGUACCGACGCUGAGGAGCGAAAGCGUGGGGAGCAAACAGGAUUAGAUACCCUGGUAGUCCACGCCGUAAACGUUGAACACUAGGUGUGGGGGACUUAUCCACGUCCUCCGUGCCGCAGCUAACGCAUUAAGUGUUCCGCCUGGGGAGUACGGCCGCAAGGCUAAAACUCAAAGGAAUUGACGGGGCCCCGCACAAGCGGCGGAGCAUGCGGCUUAAUUCGAUGCAACCCGAAGAACCUUACCUGGACUUGACAUCAUGGGUCCGCCUGCGGAAACACAGGGUGCUUUUGCGCCCAUGACAGGUGCUGCAUGGCUGUCGUCAGCUCGUGUCGUGAGAUGUUGGGUUAAGUCCCGCAACGAGCGCAACCCUUGUCCUAUGUUGCCAGCGGUUCGGCCGGGGACUCAUAGGAGACUGCCGGGGACAACUCGGAGGAAGGCGGGGAUGACGUCAAGUCAUCAUGCCCCUUAUGUUCAGGGCUGCACGCAUGCUACAAUGGGCGGUACAACGGGCUGCGAUCCCGCGAGGGUGAGCGAAUCCCUGAAAACCGUCCUCAGUUCGGAUUGGAGUCUGCAACUCGACUCCAUGAAGCCGGAGUCGCUAGUAAUCGCGAAUCAGCAAUGUCGCGGUGAAUACGUUCUCGGGGCUUGUACACACCGCCCGUCACAUCACGGAAGUCGGUAACGCCCGAAGUCAGUGGCCUAACCUUUUUGGAGGGAGCUGCCGAAGGCGGGAUCGGCGACUGGGAUGAAGUCGUAACAAGGUAGCCGUA